rnacentral:rRNA from 1 species
AACGAACGCUGGCGGCAUGCCUAACACAUGCAAGUCGAACGAGACCUUCGGGUCUAGUGGCGCACGGGUGCGUAACGCGUGGGAACCUGCCCUUAGGUUCGGAAUAACUCCCCGAAAGGGGUGCUAAUACCGGAUAAUUUCUUCGGACCAAAGAUUUAUCGCCCUUGGAUGGGCCCGCGUUGGAUUAGCUAGUUGGUAGGGUAAAAGCCUACCAAGGCGACGAUCCAUAGCUGGUCUGAGAGGAUGAUCAGCCACACUGGGGCUGAGACACGGCCCAGACUCCUACGGGAGGCAGCAGUGGGGAAUAUUGGACAAUGGGCGAAAGCCUGAUCCAGCAAUGCCGCGUGAGUGAUGAAGGCCUUAGGGUUGUAAAGCUCUUUUACCCGGGAUGAUAAUGACAGUACCGGGAGAAUAAGCUCCGGCUAACUCCGUG